GUAUACGUGUUUUAGUUGGCAAAAAUGACCGUGUCUUAUUUCAUGGUAAUCUAUUCAACAAUGCGUUAAUUUAAACGCUAGAAGAUAUGUGUAUUUUGUGUUAUGCAGUGUUGAAUAAAAUGCAGGAUUAUAUCUUGGUUCGCUUGUAGAAGAAAUUGUUCCACUUACCUAUUUUCAACAUAUUAAUGUUUGAUUAAGUAGCAAUGAUAAAGGUUACAUAUUUAUUCACUUCAAUCUUGUAAUUAUCGUUGACAAAUAUUCUUCACGUUAUAAGCGGCAAAUGUUUCUUUAAAAUUUCCAAUUCCAUUUAGAUUUUUGGUUUCAAUGUUAGAAAACGCAAAAAACAGAUUAUGUCAGAAAAUAUAUGCAGACGCGUUCUCCGUACGCAUCAGAUGCAAAUGAUCUAUGUUGAAAUGCAAAUAUUUUGAUGUGCUUUCACUUCGAGCGAAGAAAAUACACUGACGGUGGUAAAGAAAUAUUUUUAUCGCAGACCGAAGGAAACAAAAAAAUAUGGGAAGAAGAAAAUUGUUACGAAGGAUACUUCGUGAAAUGACUAUUUCCCUCUUUCCUUGACCUAUAAUUAUCUUAUAUGAUAACUUAUUAGAUAUUUAAGACCUAUACGUAGUCGAGUGAUGGAAGAAAAUCGUUUGAGAUAUGAAUAAAUAAUUCUGAAAUUAUAGCUCGUCGGGUUCACUUCGCUGAGAGUCAACAAAUUUUUGCAAUAUUCUACUGGAAAAUUUUUAAGAGAGGUGGAAAUAAAUAAAAUCGAAGAUGUAAAUGAUCAGUAGUUCUUGAACCAUUGUACACGAUGGUCGAAACACUGGCGUACUAUAGUUUCAGCAAAACUCUCUUAAGAGGACUAGGACUUUGGCCGUAUCACAACAAAAGAUUUAAAGUUUUACAAAACAGUUUCAUCAGCUUGAAUUUAUUUCUUUUUAUAAUGGCCCAGGUGCAGUAAUUAUUCUCUUAUGUAAUUUAACUUUCGUUUAACUUAUAUUAUACUCAUAUUUCCUUGAGUUAGACACAAUGGUGAGAAUAUAUACUAAGUAAUUACAUUACGGAAAGUUUAUUUCUAUUUUUUUUUCCUUUAAUAUAGAAUAUAAAAAUACAUUACUUGUAUUUUGAAACUCUAUAAAUCUCCAUCGAGAUUUCAAAUGCUCAAUAAAAAAAAAAUAUACACGACGACAAUCAAAUUUUCUUUUCGAUCAAUAAUUGCGAAUUAGAUAAAGUUGAAUUAGAUGCGAGAACUUCGCUAUUUAUCGUAUAUGUUGAAUCUUCUGUUAUACAAAAUUUCCAUUCUUCUUACAUAGAGCUGCACUAUUUUCAGUGUUUUGUUUUCAAGACUAGGGAAUUCAUGUUGAAGGAUGUGUCGACGCUGAUCAUGAGCUUUAGCUACUUCGUAAGGUACAAUAUAAAUUGGUACCAACUUCCUACAGCCAAGAAAAUGAUGGAUAAAAUAAAAGAGGACCUGGAAACGAAAAAUGGCGAAGUACUUCAAAUUAUGAAGGAUCAUGCUUCUAUAGGAAGACGUUACGGGAUACGACUUUCGUGUAAGAAACAUAUUUUGAUGAAUUGACCGUAACAAAUUAACGUAUUUAGAAAUUUUAAAGAAUUGAACGUAUGAAAUAAUAUAUUGCAAACUUUAUAAUUUUAUGUAUAUGUUACAGUAAUUAUAUAUGUAUCAUUAACCUUCGUAAUACUAUACCCCCUGUUAAUCUGUAUUCAAGAUAAAAGUACAUCAUUGAAUCAAAUUUGUUUCACAAGAUUUUACAUAGCAACGGAAUAUCUAAUGCUCGAAGAAAAAUGCUUUUUGCUCACAGUUCUACAUUCGUACUUAUCGACAGUGAUUUUUGUAACUAUUUUUCUGGCAACAGAGUCUUUAGUGAUUAUGUGGCUACAACAUGCUGUUAGCUUGUGCAAAAUUACGAGGUAUAACGAACAAUAAUUAACUGUCCAGUACACUGUUUACCUGUUUGAGGUUGCUCGACACACCAGUAAUGAUCAGUGUUUUAUUUGGAAGCAACAGAACACAUACAUUAAUAUGAAAGAUUAGCUUUACUAAUUUUGCACUAAGUUACGAUGUAAUCUGCUUUUUUUACUUAUAUUAUGAAUAUUUCAACAGGUGAAAAUUCCGUCUUGCAUUAGUUAAUUAAUUUUUUUGUACAAAUACUUAAUCUGUUCUAUAAAUUAUAUAUACGAGAAUAUACACAUUAUACAUUAUUUACAUUUCUUAAGUGUUUUAAAUCCUUUUUAUAUUACUUAAAUUUCCAGUUAUUAUGUAAAAAGAGCCACUCUCAGGAACGCAAAAAAUCAUUUCGAUCGUAGAACUAAAGAGGACAUAGCAAAAGUCGUAUUCGCUCAGAGUAGAUCAGUACAAUUUUUUCAAGAGUUGCAAGGUAAUAACGUAUUAACAUAUGGCGUGAUCCUUGUGUCUGUUAUCAUUUCCCUAGGAAUUAAUUUAUUUUGU